AGCGGAGGAAAAGAAACCAACCGGGAUUGCCUCAGUAACGGCGAGUGAAGCGGCAACAGCUCAAAUUUGAAAGCCCGCGGGCGUUGUAAUUUGCAGGCGGAUGUUUUGGGGCGGGCGCUGUCUACGUUCCUUGGAACAGGACGCCGCAGAGGGUGAGAGCCCCGUGCGAUGGCGCCUCUAACCGCGUAAAACUCCGCCGACGAGUCGAGUUGUUUGGGAAUGCAGCUCCAAGUGGGUGGUAAAUUCCAUCUAAAGCUAAAUACUGGCGAGAGACCGAUAGCGAACAAGUACAGUGAUGGAAAGAUGAAAAGCACUUUGAAAAGAGAGUGAAACAGCACGUGAAAUUGUUGAAAGGGAAGGGUAUGCGAUUAGCGGCCAGCAGGAGGUGCCUUCUCGUGAAAAGGCCGUGCACCGUCUUCGGACACCGUGCGCGGAGAUGGCGAGGGGGCGCCUGAGGUCUGCGAACUCGAGGUGC
rnacentral:rRNA from 1 species